rnacentral:rRNA from 1 species
GAUGAACGCUGGCGGCGUGCCUAAUACAUGCAAGUCGAGCGAAUGGAUUAAGAGCUUGCUCUUAUGAAGUUAGCGGCGGACGGGUGAGUAACACGUGGGUAACCUGCCCAUAAGACUGGGAUAACUCCGGGAAACCGGGGCUAAUACCGGAUAACAUUUUGAACCGCAUGGUUCGAAAUUGAAAGGCGGCUUCGGCUGUCACUUAUGGAUGGACCCGCGUCGCAUUAGCUAGUUGGUGAGGUAACGGCUCACCAAGGCAACGAUGCGUAGCCGACCUGGGAGGGUGAUCGGCCACACUGGGAGUGAAACACGGCCCAGACUCCUACGGGAGGCAGCAGUAGGGAAUCUUCCGCAAUGGACGAAAGUCUGAAGGAGCAACGCCGCGUGAGUGAUGAAGGCUUUCGGGUCGUAAAACUCUGUUGUUAGGGAAGAACAAGUGCUAGUUGAAUAAGCUGGCACCUUGACGGUACCUAACCAGAAAGCCACGGCUAACUACGUGCCAGCCGCCGCAGUAA